AUUGAACGCUGGCGGCACGCCUUACACAUGCAAGUCGAACGGCAGCACGGGGCAACCUGGUGGCGAGUGGCGAACGGGUGAGUAAUGCAUCGGAACGUACCUUUCAGUGGGGGAUAACGUAGCGAAUGUUACGCUAAUACCGCAUAUUCUGUGAGCAGGAAAGCAGGGGAUCGCUAGACCUUGCGCUGAUUGAGCGGCCGAUGUCAGAUUAGCUAGUUGGUGAGGUAAAGGCUCACCAAGGCGACGAUCUGUAGCGGGUCUGAGAGGAUGAUCCGCCACACUGGAACUGAGACACGGUCCAGACUCCUACGGGAGGCAGCAGUGGGGAAUUUUGGACAAUGGGGGCAACCCGGAUCCAGCCAUGCCGCGUGAGUGAAGAAGGCCUUCGGGUUGUAAAGCUCUUUCGGCCGGGAAGAAAUCGCACGGGCUAAUACCCUGUGUGGAUGACGGUACCGGGAUAAGAAGCACCGGCUAACUACGUGCCAGCCGCCGCCGUAACAC
rnacentral:rRNA from 1 species